rnacentral:rRNA from 1 species
UACGUAGGGUGCGAGCGUUGUCCGGAUUUAUUGGGCGUAAAGAGCUCGUAGGCGGUUUGUCGCGUCGUUCGUGAAAUCUCCACGCUUAACGUGGAGCGUGCGGUCGAUACGGGCAGGCUAGAGUUCGGUAGGGGAGACUGGAAUUCCUGGUGUAACGGUGAAAUGCGCAGAUAUCAGGAGGAACACCGGUGGCGAAGGCGGGGUCUCUGGGCCGAUACUGACGCUGGAGGAGCGAAAGCGUGGGGAGCGAACAGG